rnacentral:lncRNA from 1 species
AACAGCUUGGGUAAUUUCUUAUUUAUUUUGUUUAGUAAGUUUCUGGUCAGACAUAGACUUGAUUGGUUUUCUAGUUUUGUCAAAUACAUAAAAAAGAAGAUGUGGUAUGAUUGCCAAUGAGACAACUAUCCACAAAAGACCAAAAUGACACAGACAUUAACAACUAUAGGUCACCGUACGGCCUUCAACAAUGAGCAAAGCCCAUACCGCAUAGUCAGCUUUAAAAGGCCCCGAUAAGACAAUGUAAAACAAUUCAAACGAGAAAACUAACGGCCUUAUUUAUGUAAAAAAAAUGAACGAAAAACAAAUAUGUAACACAUAAACAAACGACAAC